rnacentral:rRNA from 1 species
GACGAACGCUGGCGGCGUGCUUAACACAUGCAAGUCGAACGAUGAAGAAGAGAAACGCGAACUUCGGUUCAACUUUCACUUCGGAUUAGUGGCAGACGGGUGAGUAACGCGUGAGCAACCUACCUCUUACAAAGGGAUAGCCUCGGUAAACCGUGAUUAAUACCAUAUGACACAUUCAUAAGGCAUCUUAAGAAUGUUAAAGCUACGGCGGUAAGAGAUGGGCUCGCGUCCCAUUAGCUAGUUGGUGAGGUAACGGCCCACCAAGGCGACGAUGGGUAACCGGCCUGAGAGGGUGAACGGUCACAUUGGAACUGAGACACGGUCCAAACUCCUACGGGAGGCAGCAGUGGGGAAUAUUGCACAAUGGAGGGAACUCUGAUGCAGCGACGCCGCGUGAGCGAUGAAGGAAUUCGUUUCGUAAAGCUCUGUUCUAUGGGAAGAAAAGGACUGUACCAUAGGAGAAAGCCCCGGCUAAAUACGUG